rnacentral:rRNA from 1 species
AUUUUGCUAGUAGCUGCGAAUGAAUACAAAGCUAAUCAUAAUGACAAUUGCUGCACACUUUGUGCAGUGAAUUGUUUACUUUUGGUAUAAUGCUAUCAAAGCUGCAUACAAAUGAUUUUUGAAAUGAUACAACAUGGGAUGCGAUGUUCAUGUAUGUGUGCCUGCUUUGUCCACAGCAUGUGCUGAAUGAAUCACAUUUCUUGCAACUGAAAUGCAAAUGGCAUGGUGAAGUUCAUGUGACAUGACACAUGCUUGAGAUUCAUGAUGUGCAAGUACCAUGAGGGAAAUGUGAACAGGACUGUGGAAAGAGAAUUAAAUAAAGCCUGCAAUUGCUGGACAUGAAAGCAAGCGUAGACAUUCAUUGAAGUGUUACUGCAUCUUUACACCACCUUUAUGGUUACUGUAUGCUUUACAUUACAACACAAAUAAUGAAGUGCGUGUGUGUGUGUGUGUGUACUUUGCUUCAAUUGUUUCCACCUGGGAUCACUUGAAACAUUGUCUGAGCACUCUUCAGUAUCACUAUGUGUACACCAGUAUAUUCCACUCCUUGUUGGCACACAUGUGAGGAUGAUGUGUUUAUGUGCCAUACUUCUGUGUUCACGAAACAUGUUGUGCACAUCUUCACUUGACCCGUCUUGAAACACGGACCAAGGAGUCUGGCAAGUGUGCAAACUGACUUUAUGUAAUGAUUUGUAUGUAAUGAAAAUAUUUGUAUUAUAAUUGCACCACCAAUCAAUAUUCAGCUGGUUGCUUAUUUGAAUGUGUGAAUUGUUGCUAGGACCCGAAAGAUGGUGAACUAUGCUUCCAUAACAUGAGUUUGGGCAAGGACUGAUCUUUCUGAUCUUUCUUUUCACAUUGAACAACUGAUUCAGAACUGAAGCGCAAAGGGGGAAUCCGACUGUUUAAUUAAAACAAAGCAUUGUGAUGGCUUUUGAAUGUGUUGAUGCAAUGUGAUUUCUGCCCAGUGCUCUGAAUGUCAAGGUGAUGAAAUUCAAACAAGCGCGGGUAAACGGCGGGAGUAACUAUGACUCUCUUAAGGUAGCCAAAUGCCUCGUCAUCUAAUUAGUGACGCGCAUGAAUGGAUUAACGAGAUUCCUACUGUCCUUACUUUCAAUUUAGCGAAACCACAGCCAAGGGAACGGGCUUGGGUUGAUCAGCGGGGAAAGAAGACCCUGUUGAGCUUGACUCUAGUCUGACACUGUGAAAUGACUUAGGAGGUGUAGAAUAAGUGGGAGUGUUUUACAAUCAUGAAAUACCACUACUCUUGAUGUUAUUUUACUUAUUCUGUGAUGCUGGUGCUUGCUGUGGCAACUUGUUGUGUGAAUGUAAACUGAAGUUUGUGCACUUGUGUGGAAAACACAGUUAGGUGGGGAGUUUGGCUGGGGCGGCACAUCUGUUAAAUGAUAACGCAGGUGUCCUAAGGUAAGCUCAAUGAGAACAGAAAUCUUAUGUGGACUAAAAGGGGAAAAGCUUGCUUGAUUUUCAUUUUCAGUGCAAAUACAAACUGUGAAAACAUGGCCUAUCGAUCCUUUAGACAUGAAAACUGUUCAGCUAGAGGUGUCAGAAAAGUUACCACAGGGAUAACUGGCUUGUGGCAGCCAAGCGUCACAGCGACGUGC